AAGUGUUUAUAGAAAUUCCAAAAUGUUUAAAACUAUCUCUUGAUUUUUGAAGGUCACUGUAAUCUAGUCUAUUGGAGAAUGCUAUUGUAGAGUCUUUGGCUAUUGUUACUUAUACCUGCAUAUAUGAAAUCACCACUCCUAAAAACCACGAAUUAGAAGGCUGAUUUGUUUAAAGAAAUACUGUUGUCCAUGAUGGAAGAAGGAUGCUAACUCACAGAGAGAAUGAUGCUGCCUGUGGAACAGAGUCGGAGCUGGCUUUUAUGGAACCUAUUGUCACUUUGAUUAUACACUGUCUAGGACAGGACUGAGGCCCACAUAAUACCAAGCAUACCACAAAUACGUUGCCAGUAAUGAUGUUUCUGGUGAUCUGGCUCAGAAGGCUGAGCUGAUGAGUGAUCACUCAGAAAUACUGAAUCAGGCAAUGGAAAUUCUGAAUCGGUGGGCUCUGGAGAAGGAACUGAGGGCGAGGUGACUCGGGGCCGGAGGGCUAUUAUGGACUAUGGACAAGCUGAAGGCAUGGGAAGCCUGACCAGUAGAUAGAGGAAUAUGAACUUGGUGGACAGGGAAAAGCAGGGACGUCAUGAACGAAAGACCACAGACCCUCUGUUCUAGUCCAUGGGGCCAGGCUGUGCUCCACUGCCUACUCUUGGAUUCCCCAAAGAAUGCUUUAUGUCCUUAUAAUAAAUCCACCUUUCCAUGGACAAAAAUGAGUGUGUCUCUGUGUCUUCAAACCUGAGAGCUAAAACCAAAAAACAUAACU
rnacentral:lncRNA from 1 species